rnacentral:lncRNA from 10 species
CUUCUACAUUCAGUGGAUGAUUUCCUACAUGGUAGCCAGAAUUUCUGAUUUGAUUCCAAAAACAAAAGAUGCCAAACAUCUGCUCAGAAGGAAGUAGCAAAUACUGGAACUCAAUGUUCUUUAUACUUGAGAAAGGUUUAUAACAACAAACAGCUUUUACAUGACUCACUCAGAAAAAACUAAAGACUCUUCUAAAACUACUUUUCAUAUACCUGCACUGAAGCAACAGUCAUCUUUAAGCCAAAUAGGCGGAGAGAAAUGACUUCUUCAAAGUAUUCAGACAGGGUCUCACUCCGUCACCCAGGCUGGAGUACAGUGGCACAAUCUCGGUUCUCUGCAACCUCCAUCGCCCAGGCUCAAGUGAUCCCCCCACCUCAACCUCCCAAGUAGCUGGGAUUACAAGCCUGCACCUCUAUGCCCAGCUAAUUUUUGUGUUUUUAGUAGAGACAAGGUUUUGCCAUGUUGGCCAGGCUGGUCUCGAACUCCUGACCUCAGGUGAUCCAAAAGCCUUGGCCUCCCCAAGUGCUGGGAUUACAGGCUUGAGCCACCACACCUGGCCAAUUAUUUUAUUAAGCCAGAUGAAUCUAGCUCUGGACAGUUAUAAGCAAAGAAAAACUAACGGAAAAAUACAGAGGCCUGAAGAAUCACAGAGGGAAACUCAUUUGUUCCUCUGGCAGCUCUCCCCAAGGACACCUGUGAGACAAAGUCAGAAGUGGCUUCCCUGGUGACCCAGAGAGACCACAGGGCUCUUGCCGCUGCUUCCUCUACUCCCGUAUUUUGCCGAGCUCUCUAAAUUGUCUCAGCUCUAGCCUGAAUCUAUGGUUUCAUGGAGAGCUCCCUAAAAUCUGUUGACAGAGGAAGAGAAGACUUGAACCUGGUUUACAGAUGGUACUGCACAAUAUGCAGGAACCACAUGAAAGCAGGCAGUUGAAGCACUGCAGCCUCUCUCUGGGACAUCUCCUAAGAAAAAUGAGGGAGCAUCCUCCCAUCCUCCAGAUUUCUGACCUUGGAUAAGUAGAGAAUGUCACUUGCUGACAGGUCCAGGAACCCUAAGUUAUUUGGGAAACUCAA